rnacentral:rRNA from 1 species
GAUGAACGCUGGCGGCGUGCCUAAUACAUGCAAGUCGAGCGAACGGACGAGAAGCUUGCUUCUCUGAUGUUAGCGGCGAACGGGUGAGUAACACGUGGAUAACCUACCUAUAAGACUGGGAUAACUUCGGGAAACCGGAGCUAAUACCGGAUAAUAUUUUGAACCGCAUGGUUCAAAAGUGAAAGACGGUCUUGCUGUCACUUAUAGAUGGAUCCGCGCUGCAUUAGCUAGUUGGUAGGGUAACGGCUUACCAAGGCAACGAUGGGUAGCCGACCUGAGGGGGUGACCGGCCACAUGGGGACUACGAGACGGCCGAGACGACUAGGGGAGGACACAGUGGGGAAUAUUAAAUAAUGGGAGGAAGCCUGAUGCAGCAACGCCGGGGGCGGGAUAAAGGCCUUCGGGUGUUAAACCGCUUUCGCCUGUGACGAAGAGUGAGUGACGGUAAUGGGUAAAGAAGCACCGGCUAACUACGUG